CAUCUUCCUUCUUCUCGGCUGGCUUGUCUGACUGGGAGGCUGCUUUUCUCCUAGGCACAGAGAAGGGGAAGAUACAGAUCAGCUCCUCACGUUCUCUCACUGUCCCAGAACUCUUCUGCCUCCACCCUGCCAGACUCACCCCGGUCCUCAGAUAAACCUGUGUGGGAAAACGAUGGCGUGAAGGAGGCGGCUUGUCUAGGCCCCGUCUGGUGAGGAGCCAGGCCCAGGCAAAUGUCCAGGCCCUCCGUGUGGUCAUGGCCUGGGACACAAAACUGGUCUAGGCAGAGAGGGCGAGAUGCCUCUAUGUCUGUUUAGCUCUACUGGCAGCAGCUGUAGCAUCUGAGGCGUGGAGGGGAGGCGGGCACGCUCUGUCCCCAGGACACUGAAGGCCUGGCCACACGGGACAGAGAGGCAUCUCUCUGGGCUGCAGUCUGUCCCACAGGUCGGGACACUGGACACUUUCUUGUGUCACUCUAAGGCCCUUGUGUCUUGGAACUCAGUUAACCCAGCCACGCCCUCCCCAAUCUAGAAUGCCACUCAGAGCCUGGAAAUGCUCAGAAGAGGAGCCCUGGAAUAGGUCCACGUGACGCCCUUGAGUCGGUUCGUGCACCUCCCCAGUAUGAAUCCCCGUUUCAUGUACUCUAAAACCUCACCCAUAUUUUUUGGCCUCAGUGGUAUCUGCUGACCUCCCAGGUCUACAGAGGCAGGCAGACCCUCAGUGUUUCCCAGAGAUACGCUUCUGUGGCUUUUCAACUUGAGAUGAGCUGCCCAUCAAGCAUGGAGCUGGUCUGAGGUGUGAUAAUGGGCCGUGGCCAGGCUGUCACCUGUCUGUGAUGGGCCUACCUGGCAGCCUCCUCAGCUACAGCAGGGGCCCCCUUCUUUAGCUCCCAUCUCAGGACAGGUCUGCCCACCUCGUCCCUCAGCCCAGAAACCAGGGAAUCAUCCCUGACACCAGCUUCUUAUAACUGUCAGCCUGGUCAGUUCUCUAAAUCUGGGUACCUGCCUGUCUUUUUUGUCUUCACCUUCAACACCUUCCUGCAUGCCCCUAUCAUCUCUUCCUGGACUGUCAGAGUCUCCUAACUGGCCUAGCCACGAUCACUUACACCUCACCAGCUACCCCCCAGCAGCCAGUGUCCCAUCUCCUAGAAACAGAACGCUGACCAAGCCACCUGCUCACGGGGAGUGUAGGCGGGAUGAGUGUCUGUGAAAGUGCUGCUGAACAGGAGCUUUCUGUCCACGUUCAUUUCCCUCCUGCCCUCCACUGUUGGGAGACUCAACUGCAUGCCCUCAGAGGCGGGAGACAACCUACAUGAAAAGAAACCUGGCAAGGGCACUUUCAUCGUCGGCUCCACCCAGUAGCCAUCACUGAGGUGGAUUUCAGAGAGCACCUGAUUGAUCCCUGCUGAGCUAUGCAAAGCAUGUUUGUUCUUGGGAGGGCCUUGACUCUCCCACCGGCAUCUGGCAUCUCACUGGCUCCUGGCAAUACUGGCCUUUUCCUGUUCUCAGACAGAAAGGUGCUUCCCCUCAGCUUGGUCUAGGACUUAGGGAAAGCAUUCAUAUUUUCUUUUCCAAAACUAUUUCUAUUUCUCUGUGGCCCAUCCUCGCCUCUGAGUGCUCUGAGGUGGAACCCGAUGCCCUGCACCAGGAGGCUCCCUCUUCCAGCCUGACUUUUGGUCCAUUUCCUCCACACCUAGCUCUCCAGGCACAGGGGGCGUCAGCCUUCCCAGCCUUACCUUAACUCUGCCCACUGUCCCUCUUACAGCACGGGACGUCCUCAUCGUUCUGCGAGCCCUCCCGGCUCUCUCACCCACGGAGCCAUUCGCCUUUGUGUGGCCACUGUAAGCCCCACACACCUGGACUUACUCUCACAGGAAACUGCUCAGAAGCCUGCCUCCUGUCUUGGCGAUGUACAAACGCCCAGGCCCAGUAGAGGCUCCGGAGACGCCCGUGCUGCGGAUCCACCUUGCUGCUCCCUGACACACGGGGAGCCUCCCCUCCCUGCCAUCUGUGAUGCAAGCAAAGAGCCCCUUGGCAGGAAACCCAGGCUGUGGCCCUGCCAUGAAGCGCCACACCAGCUGCCUGCAGCUGUGGGCCUCUGUCAUCUCGCAUCAUCCUCAUGGAGCCACGGGAAGGUGAGGCCUACUCCCGUGCCCUCUGGUGCCUAAGUGAGCCACGAUAUUGGUAGUCCAAGGUGAGCACAUUCCUGAUGCCAAGUCAUAUUUAAAAAUAAAAUCCAAGCUUUGCAUCCCUUUUGAGAAAGA